GACCCCAGCAAUGGGCAGAGACAUUUUGUUGAUGGUGUUGCUCCUGUAUCAUUCGGGGGCAGAGUAAAUAACAGUCCUUUGUUCAUCCUAGAUUGAUGUUUGAUUUGAUGGCCAAAGCUGUCUUAUGCCUAGGACUCAAAA